AAAAACUUAGGUUAAUUAAACCCGGGACCUUCAAAGCCCCAAACAAGGACUUACCCUCCUUAGUUUUUG
rnacentral:tRNA from 1 species